rnacentral:pre_miRNA from 1 species
GAUUUCAACUAAAAAAGUCAUCAAUAAUAAAGUUGUAUAACUCAUCAAUAUCUAUAACUUUUAUUUUGGUAAUUUCUUCAUCCGACAAAGUAAUAAUAACAUUGUUCACAAAAUUUACAUAUUUCUCUUAUAGUUAAUAAACUAUAUAAGAGAUAUACACAUUUUGUAAACAAUGUUACAAACCACUUUAUCAGAUGAAGAAAUGACCCAAAUAAAAGUUAUAGCUUGAUGAGUUAUAUCACUUUGUUAUUGAUGAAUUUUUCAGUUGAAAUC